rnacentral:misc_RNA from 2 species
AAGUCGUAACAAGGUCUCCGUAGGUGAACCUGCGGAGGGAUCAUUACACAAAUAUGAAGCCGGACUGGGAUAGGGCCUCGCUGCCUUGCCCGUCUGGCGCCAUAUUCACCCAUGUCUUUUUGCGUACUACUUGUUUCCUUGGCGGGUCCGCCCGCCAAUUGGACCUUAUUCAAACCUUUUUUUCAGUUGCAAUCAGCGUCAGCAAAACAAAUGUAAUCAAUUACAACUUUCAACAACGGAUCUCUUGGUUCUG